AGGCUAAUCCGCGCAGGGUGAGCCGGCCCCUAAGUCGAGGCCGAAAGGCGUAGACGAUGGGAACCAGGUUAAUAUUCCUGGGCCUGCUGGUAGUGACGAAUGCUGUAAGCGGUCAAUUCUUAUUGGAUUGAGUUGGCCGUGAAGGCGUUCCAGGAAAUAGCUCCAGCGUAUAGACCGUACCCCAAACCGACACAGGUGGUCAGGUAGAGAAUACUAAGGCGCUUGAGAGAACUAUGUUGAAGGAACUCGGCAAAAUUCCCUCGUACCUUCGGAAGAAGAGGGACCUCCCUGAGGGCAACCUUUGGGAGGUGGCACAGACCAGGGGGUAGCGACUGUUUAUUAAAA
rnacentral:rRNA from 11 species